AAUAAGUGCAGUUUUACACUAUUUAUGUCUCACAUUUGACCGUUCGUCUUAUUUAAAAUUUUUUUUACGAUUAAUAUUUUUAUUGUUAUUAGAUGAUAAAACAUGAAUAAUACUUUAUGUGUGACUAACUUAUUUUAAUUUUCUCAUAAUUUUUUUAAAUAAGACGGAUGGUCAAACGUUAGACACGGAUUUUCACGGCUACACUUAUU
rfam:Oryza glaberrima chromosome 12 Oglab12_0022_13, whole genome shotgun sequence.